CCGGCGACCGGCGCACGGGUGAGUAACACGUAUGGAACCUGCCCUAUGCAGGGGGAUAAGCGGAAGAAAUUCCGUCUAAUACCGCAUAACACCUUUAGGAGGCAUCUUCUUUCGGCCAAAGGAGGCGACUCCGGAGACGGAUGGGCAUGCGUGACAUUAGCUAGUUGGCGGGGUAACGGCCCACCAAGGCGACGAUGUCUAGGGGUUCUGCGAGGAAGGUCCCCCACACUGGUACUGAGACACGGACCAGACUCCUACGGAAGGCAGCAG
rnacentral:rRNA from 1 species